GCGGCCGUGGCGGAAUUGGCAUACGCGCACGUUUGAGGGGCGUGUCCAGCAAUGGGUACGGGUUCAAGUCCCGUCGGCCGCACCA
rnacentral:tRNA from 6 species